UACGGGGGGGGCAAGCGUUGUUCGGAAUUACUGGGCGUAAAGGGCUCGUAGGUGGCCAACUAAGUCAGACGUGAAAUCCCUCGGCUUAACCGGGGAACUGCGUCUGAUACUGGAUGGCUAGAGUUUGGGAGAGGGAUGCGGAAUUCCAGGUGUAGCGGUGAAAUGCGUAGAUAUCUGGAGGAACACCGGUGGCGAAGGCGGCAUCCUGGACCAACACUGACGCUGAGGAGGCGAAAGCUAGGGGAGCAAACGGGG
rnacentral:rRNA from 1 species